rnacentral:rRNA from 1 species
CGCGUAGGCGGGAAUGCAAGUCAGAUGUGAAAUCCAAGGGCUCAACCCUUGAACUGCAUUUGAAACUGUAUUUCUUGAGUGUCGGAGAGGUUGACGGAAUUCCUAGUGUAGCGGUGAAAUGCGUAGAUAUUAGGAGGAACACCAGUGGCGAAAGCGGCUUUCUGGAUGACAACUGACGCUGAGGCGCGAAAGCCAGGGAGCAAACG